GGAGUACGGCCGCAAGGUUAAAACUCAAAUGAAUUGACGGGGGCCCGCACAAGCGGUGGAGCAUGUGGUUUAAUUCGAUGCAACGCGAAGAACCUUACCUGGUCUUGACAUCCACAGAACUUUCCAGGGAUGGAUUGGUGCCUUCGGGAACUGUGAGACAGGUGCUGCAUGGCUGUCGUCAGCUCGUGUUGUGAAAUGUUGGGUUAAGUCCCGCAACGAGCGCAACCCUUAUCCUUUGUUGCCAGCGGUU
rnacentral:rRNA from 1 species